AACCCAUGGUGAGGGCAUCUUCGCAAAAAGUCCUUCUAUCUCUCCCAUGCAUCGUAAAGUGUUUCUAAAUCAAUCUGCACCAAAAGAGGAGAUAUCAUUACGUAAUUCGGUU
rnacentral:snoRNA from 1 species